rnacentral:tRNA from 1 species
GCGGGUAUAGCUCAGUGGCAGAGCAUCGGCUUCCCAAGCCGAGGGUCGUGGGUUCGAAUCCCAUUACCCGCUCCA